GGCGAACGCUGGCGGCGUGCUUAACACAUGCAAGUCGAACGGAAAGGCCCUGCUUUUGUGGGGUGCUCGAGUGGCGAACGGGUGAGUAACACGUGAGUAACCUGCCCUUGACUUUGGGAUAACUUCAGGAAACUGGGGCUAAUACCGGAUAGGAGCUCCUGCUGCAUGGUGGGGGUUGGAAAGUUUCGGCGGUUGGGGAUGGACUCGCGGCUUAUCAGCUUGUUGGUGGGGUAGUGGCUUACCAAGGCUUUGACGGGUAGCCGGCCUGAGAGGGUGACCGGCCACAAUGGGACUGAGAUACGGCCCAGACUCCUACGGGAGGCAGCAGUGGGGAAUAUUGCACAAUGGGCGGAAGCCUGAUGCAGCAACGCCGCGUGCGGGAUGACGGCCUUCGGGUUGUAAACCGCUUUCGCCUGUGACGAAGCGUGAGUGACGGUAAUGGGUAAAGAAGCACCGGCUAACUACGUG
rnacentral:rRNA from 1 species